rnacentral:lncRNA from 1 species
AGAUGAAAAGCAAGAAGAAAAAGGCUUGGCAAUGACAGGGAAAUGGCCUUUAAUCUUGAAACAACCAUGACUGAAGGGCAGUUGCAGAUCUAGCUUCCAAGGUGGGCCCAGGGAGGAUACAGCCUCUGCAUUACUGAAGCGUCAUAUUUGAAGUCAAGCACCAGGGAAAGUCCUUAGUAAUCAGCCCAGAGGCCAGGUCCAGGACAAAUGCUCAGCAGCAAUCCAAGCUUGGAAGUCCCAGAAGGUAAACCUCCCAGGAUGUAAAUGCUCCCUCUCAGAGGCAGUCCCACUGCAGCCUUCUCUGAACCCCUUGGACUCUGCAGGCUCCCUUCUCUGGCAUGCCUCCUUGGCCUUCUUCCUUCUAUUUUUCUCAUAAGCUCGUUUCUGGAUGAUUUAUGGGCUCUCCGGCGGCUCCGGUGCGGGGCUCACGGGCGCAUCGCGCUCCGGCUGCAGCGGGAGGAGAGCGGGGAGCGGAGCGGAGCGGCGGCUCGCCCCAGCCCGGCGCUUAGGGUGCGCUGCCCCGGGCCAUGCGAGCGGCUGCGGGCAGCGUCCCCGCGGCGCGGCCGGAGUUGGGACCCAAGUCCUGCCCUGAGCUCCGCUGCCUCUUCCCGGCGGCUCCUAUCGGCGCGGCUUCAACUCUUUCCAUCGGAGACCGG